rnacentral:rRNA from 1 species
GACGAACGCUGGCGGCGUGCUUAACACAUGCAAGUCGAACGUGAUUUUUGUGGAAAUUCUUUCGGGAAUGGAAAUGAAAUGAAAGUGGCGAACGGGUGAGUAACACGUGAGCAACCUACCUUACACAGGGGGAUAGCCGUUGGAAACGACGAUUAAUACCGCAUGAGACCACAGAAUCGCAUGAUAUAGGGGUCAAAGAUUUAUCGGUGUAAGAAGGGCUCGCGUCUGAUUAGCUAGUUGGAAGGGUAAAGGCCUACCAAAGCGACGAUCAGUAGCCGGUCUGAGAGGAUGAACGGCCACAUUGGAACUGAGACACGGUCCAAACUCCUACGGGAGGCAGCAGUGGGGAAUAUUGCACAAUGGGGGGAACCCUGAUGCAGCGACGCCGCGUGAGCGAAGAAGGUUUUCGAAUCGUAAAGCUCUGUCCUAUGAGAAGAUAAUGACGGUAUCAUAGGAGGAAGCCCCGGCUAAAUACGUGCCAGCAGCCGCGGUAAUACGUAUGGGGCGAGCGUUGUCCGGAAUUAUUGGGCGUAAAGGGUACGUAGGCGGUUUUUUAAGUCAGGUGUGAAAGCGUGAGGCUUAACCUCAUUAAGCACUUGAAACUGGAAGACUUGAGUGAAGGAGAGGAAAGGGGAAUUCCUAGUGUAGCGGUGAAAUGUGUAUAUAUUAUGGAGGAUACCGGUGUCGAAGGCGACUUUUUUGUAUUUUACUGACGCUCAUGUACGAAAGCGUGGCGAUUGAACUGUGUUGAUAUACCCUAUAUGUCCAUGGUGCGAUUUCCACUAUGGUAUUGUAGUCUGAUGGAUGAUGGUGGAUCUCGAGUGGGGGACAAAGUACCGCUGCCUUUUGUUCCUUUUAUUGUGUG